UAGGGAAUCUUCGGCAAUGGACGGAAGUCUGACCGAGCAACGCUGCGUGAGUGAAGAAGGUUUUCGGAUCGUAAAGCUCUGUUGUAAGAGAAGAACGAGUGUGAGAGUGGAAAGUUCACACUGUGACGGUAACUUACCAGAAAGGGACGGCUAACUACGUGCCAGCAGCCGCGGUAAUACGUAGGUCCCGAGCGUUAUCCGGAUUUAUUGGGCGUAAAGCGAGCGCAGGCGGUUAGAUAAGUCUGAAGUUAAAGGCUGUGGCUUAACCAUAGUACGCUUUGGAAACUGUUUAACUUGAGUGCAGAAGGGGAGAGUGGAAUUCCAUGUGUAGCGGUGAAAUGCGUAGAUAUAUGGAGGAACACCGGUGGCGAAAGCGGCUCUCUGGUCUGUAACUGACGCUGAGGCUCGAAAGCGUGGGGAGCAAACAGGAUUAGAUACCCUGGUAGUCCACGCCGUAACGAUGAGUGCUAGGUGUUGGGUCCUUUCCGGGACUCAGUGCCGCAGCUAACGCAUUAAGCACUCCGCCUGGGGAGUACGACCGCAAGGUUG
rnacentral:rRNA from 1 species